GCGCAGGUGCUCGCGACAGGUGCAGGCGGGCAGUGCCCAAUAGCGGGCGGCCCGCGACGCACUGUAACCGGCUCAGCCUCCUUCUAUCACUAUACUGACGGGGGGGCUUCCUUUGCUGCAGGCGUCGCCGGGCUCCGGCUCUAAAAAGCGACUGUCUCCUCCUCGCAAACGCUGCGCAGUUUUGGUUUCCUUGGGAAGUGACGUAAGAAGACGGCGGGACUGCUAACCGCAGAGUGAGGACUAGAUCCACCAGGUACAACUUUUGAAUAGACAGUAUGACUUACGUGCAGUACUGCUGUGGGAUGCCACAGUGAGAUCCAUAACGGGACAGAAAUCUGUUCUCAAGAUCAAUUAUGGUUUCACCUACUUUUUCAUCACGAGUCAAUGUGUCGUAGUCAUAGACCGAAAUUUUCAGAUCUUUUUCUUGAGUACAGCAGAGUUGCAUCACAGACAUUCCAAAGCCCGCAUGUCUCACCAGCCCAUUGUUAUCCUGGGGUUGAAGCUGCAAAGCUCUAACGAUAUAAAUUCGCACAAUACACUCCUGAGGCCCACUGUCUGGUAGCUCACGGAACUGGCGGGGAGGCGCUGGAGUAGUGGGAUCAUCAGGUGUCCCUUGAAAUAAUGCACUUCUUUGCUUUGUGAAGUAAUGGUUAUGGAAAAAGAGUAAAUCCAAAUCUUUGGGCCUUCUUUUAAGAUUAUCAAAACAAAUAAUGAGUCCUCUGGAUUUGGAUACUAUUGCUGAAGUGCUCAUUUAUCCAGUCCCACUUUAAGUGUGAUAAUGCAAAUGGCUGAACUGGGACAACUCAGGAAUUGACAGCCUCUGAUAGAGCAAGACUGAACCUGGUGGAACUGGGGAAGGAUGGAGACCUCAUGAACUGGACCUGUCAAGGAUCAACCAUCCAUUCUCCUUCCCACUCCCAGCCUUUUGGGGGUAGAAAAUACUCUCUCUUCAGUUUGAUUUUUCCUGUGACAUCAGAAAACUUGUGGCGACCAACAAGUCCUGAGGUACCCCACUUUCCAAAAAGAAGAGCCUGAUUUUCAUACUGUUUGAGAAGAAAGAAUAAAACAGUACUUUAGGAACAAAGAAAUGAUUUCAGGAGGGAAAAAAAAAUAAAAAGGUUUAUUUAAUAGUUAUAAUUGAAGCAUUCUACUACUUACUUUAUUUUAAACUAAAUAUCUCCUUCCCAUGUUGCCUUACACUACCAUCAUUAAUUUCUCUUUCUCCUGUGCUGUCUUGUAAAUGUAAAGAAUGAUUCUGCUGCUAAAUGACACUAUAUUCUACAAUCAAAU
rnacentral:lncRNA from 1 species